AGUGAACGCUGGCGGUAGGCCUAACACAUGCAAGUCGAACGGCAGCACAGUAAGAGCUUGCUCUUACGGGUGCCGAGUGGCGGACGGGUGAGGAAUACAUCGGAAUCUACUUUUUCUUGGGGGAUAACGCAGGGAAACUUACGCUAAUACCGCAUACGACGUACGGGUGAAAGCAGGGGAUCUUCGGACCUUGCGCGAUCGAAUGAGCCGAUGUCGGAUUAGCUAGUUGGAGGGGUAAAGGCCCACCAAGGCGACGAUCCGUAGCUGGUCUGAGAGGAUGAUCAGCCACACUGGAACUGAGACACGGUCCAGACUCCUACGGGAGGCAGCAGUGGGGAAUAUUGGACAAUGGGCGCAAGCCUGAUCCAGCCAUACCGCGUGGGUGAAGAAGGCCUUCGGGUUGUAAAGCCCUUUUGUUGGGAAAGAAAAGCAGCAGGUUAAUACCCCGCUGUUCUGACGUUACCCAAAGAAUAAGCACCGGCUAACUUCGUG
rnacentral:rRNA from 1 species